rnacentral:rRNA from 1 species
UACAGAGGUCUCAAGCGUUGUUCGGAUUCAUUGGGCGUAAAGGGUGCGUAGGUGGCGCGCUAAGUCAGGUGUGAAAUUUCGGAGCUUAACUCCGAAACUGCAUUUGAUACUGGCGUGCUUGAGGACUGGAGAGGAGACUGGAAUUCAUGGUGUAGCAGUGAAAUGCGUAGAGAUCAUGAGGAAGACCAGUGGCGAAGGCGGGUCUCUGGACAGUUCCUGACACUGAGGCACGAAGGCCAGGGGAGCAACCGGG